UACAGAGGGGGCAAGCGUUGUUCGGAAUUACUGGGCGUAAAGGGCGCGUAGGCGGCCGCCUAAGUCAGACGUGAAAUCCCUCGGCUCAACCGGGGAACUGCGUCUGAUACUGGGAGGCUUGAAUCCGGGAGAGGGAUGUGGAAUUCCGAGGUGGUAGCGGUGAAAUGCGUAGAUAUUCGCAAGAACACCAGUGGCGAAGGCGGCUCACUGGCCCGGUACUGACGCUGAGGUGCGAAAGCGUGGGGAGCAAACAGG
rnacentral:rRNA from 1 species